UUGCUCUACUUUUUCUGACCUGAGGUUGUCAAAUAUCAUAAACUUGACUGGUUUGCCAAUAACAACAACUGAAGUAGCGUUACUUUAUUUUAAGGCGACUGAGACAUUACUGUCAAGUGAAAUUUUCUGCCCAACAAGCAUUAGACUAAACUACAUGACUAGGACAUCGACCUUCUCCUGGUUUUAAGCAGCUAUCUUGCUUCACAGCCAUUUUAAUGGACAACAAACAUACAAUUAUUAAUUAAUUAUACAAUAAGUAAUUAUGUAAAACGUACAUAUUAAAUCUUCUGGUUCACUUACUGUUGUACUUUUUCAAAUAACCCGCGCGCGCAACGUAACCUGAGGUGGCUAACGAAUCAAGCUAUCUUUAGCUAGUUUAGUCGUCUCCCCUCUCAAAAUAUACACACUGUGGACGAUGCACAACAUAAUCACCCUUCUGCUAUAUGUUAACCACGUUCACCUUACCUCGUGUCUAGUCUGACGCUUUCUAGUUAGUUAAUAUUACGUUUAAUGACAAUGGCAUUUUAAGCUAGCAUCCACUUGGUCACAUUAGCCCUUUUAGAAUUCGGCAUUUUCAACCACCAGAAAAUAACUGAAGUGCACAGCGAACAACAAUAUAAAUUAAUUCUAACAUGCUGCUUCAGUUGAAACUCCAAAUAAUUGGUUUAUUAAGUAAUUAGCAGAAACUUACCGUACGUACUCUUUCCACUGGGAGAAAAUGCCGUCUUGAAAAUUCUGACGGUUAGAAAUUGAAGAGGAGGUGGGCGGGGCUCUUCAGAAGUUGAGGAACCUCAGUCGGCGAGGAAGAGGUGUCCUCCAGGAUGGGGAUGUCUGAGCUCUCCUCCGCCUUCCUGUCCAGCACUCUGGAUGGGCUGCAGAUGUCUUUACCUGGAGCAACAUCCAGUAGGAGGGAGCCCAGCAAACAGAAAGAUUUCAGCAUCUCAGUGAUGUACAUUUCCAGACAGCACUGCAGCUGGAUGAAGAGCCUGCAGAUCUCAGGGUGGAUCUCACCGUCCUCUGGCCUGAGGCACAAAAAUGCAUCAUAAUCAAGCGUAUCUUCAGUCAUAAAACAUGAUGCAACAAUAAAUAUGACAAA